AUUGAACGCUGGCGGCAUGCCUUACACAUGCAAGUCGAACGGCAGCACGGGAGCAAUCCUGGUGGCGAGUGGCGAACGGGUGAGUAAUAUAUCGGAACGUGCCCAGUCGUGGGGAUAACGUAGCGAAAGCUACGCUAAUACCGCAUACGAUCUAUGGAUGAAAGCGGGGGAUCGCAAGACCUCGCGCGAUUGGAGCGGCCGAUAUCAGAUUAGGUAGUUGGUGAGGUAAAGGCUCACCAAGCCGACGAUCUGUAGCUGGUCUGAGAGGACGACCAGCCACACUGGGACUGAGACACGGCCCAGACUCCUACGGAGGCAGCAGUGGGGAAUUUUGGACAAUGGGCGCAAGCCUGAUCCAGCAAUGCCGCGUGCAGGAUGAAGGCCUU
rnacentral:rRNA from 1 species